UCUAGAUUAUUACUCAACAAACCUGUUUCGGGUGAUAUUUCUAGGAGAGAGAUUAUUGCAGAAAUGGUUCCAUGAAGAUAGCCAUAUAUGUUUGAUGGGGGGUUCUUAGUUGCUUUAAUCAAUUAAUUAGUCUAUCUUCUUCUUCUUCUUGGGUUGAUUUUUUUUCCUAUUGAUAUGUUGUUGCUUGCUGGUUUUUAAUUAAUACGUUUGGUGAAUACACGCAUAUGGUUGCUCUUUAUUUUUCUGAUCGAUCCCUCUGCGCAAUUAUGUCUACUAUUUCAGAUCCUGGGCUCAGUAUGUCCAAAAGUGUCUGAUGAGAUGGCCAGAUUUGGUUGAACUAUAUUUUUCGAGUCAAACUAUAUCAGUUAACUGGGUUUUACUUCAAUACCUAUUGGCUUCAUUUUUCUAUUAUCUUUUUUUCCUUUUCCUGAUGUAAACAAACCUACAGUUUAAAAGGUCUUAAAUAAAAUUGAUUAAAAACCAACAAAUCCGGGAAAAAACGACUCAAAUUACACACUUUUUCGUCUCCCUUUGAAAUAAAAAGCCUGUGAAUUUUAUUUUUUCCCUUCAAACUUGCUUAUUUGGUCAUUUUUUUCGAUUUAAACAACUGCCCCUAAGAGGUCUCCAAAACCGGAACUUGAUGUAAAUAAAAAAAAUAAUUCAAAGGAAAAAAGAAAUACACUACAGAUCUAUGAGAAAAUUAACAGCAACUUGAAAGGUAAAAUGAGUAUCGUGAAAGGCUAUUGCUAUGACUAUCGGAAUAAUUGGGUGUUAUUAUGCUAAUAGUGAUUCUCGGGCCCACGUACUCUCAAAUCCAUAUCUCCAAAACCAUUGAAAUAUUGGGUACGUACAGUGGCUUUCGAUUUUGUAUCUUUAUCUUGGGCCUUCAUUAAACUUGUGAACUUGAAGUUACCGGGUUCCAAUUUCAAACUCAAGUUAAUUAGGUAUUAGUAGACCAAGGCCUUAUGUGGUACUUUGUCUUUUCCCAAAAUUAUGUUGAUUGUGUUUUUGUGUAAUAGGUAGUGACUGUUUUGCAUUAUUUUAUGUGCGAGGACUAAUGCUAUUGACUAUCGAUUCAAUUCAAGUCGAGUUAUUAGGUACUUUUCGAUGUUUUUAUUAUUAGUUAAUACUUUUGUUGUACUUUAUUUUAUUUCCAAAUAUGCUGAUUUGAAUUUUGUAGUAAGAGUGUUUUUAUUAUAAUUUUUUUGCAUUUGUUUUAUUUUGCAAGGACUAAUAGUAUUGACUAUUGGGUUUAACUUCAUGCUCAAGUUAUUUGGGUAUUAUUAGUCAAUGGCUUAUAUUGUACGUUGUCUAUAUCAAAUUAUGCUGAUUUGAAUUUUGAAGUAAUGAGUAAUGCGAGGUCUGCAUUUUUUUUGUUUUGCGAGGAUUAAUGCUAUUGACUAUCGCGUUCAACUUCAACCUCAAGUUAUUUCGGUAUUAUUAGUCAUUGUCAUAUGUUGUACUUUGUUUUUUUUUAAAUUAUGCUGAUUUGAGUUUUUUUGUAAUAAGUAUGUGACUUUUUUGCUUUUGUUUUGUUUUGCGAGGACUAUUGCUUUUGACUAUCGGACUCAAUUGGAUGUACCAUGCUAAAAGUGAGCUUGGCCCCCCGUACUCUCAAAAUCCAAUCUCCAACCAAUUGCAUAUUGUGGUACCGUCAUAGUGACUUUAAAUUUUUUAUAUUUAUCUUGGGCCGUAAUUAACCUGAACUUGAAGUUCCUCGGGUUCAAUUUCAAUUUCAAGUUAAUUAGGUAUUAUUAGAUAAGGCCUUAUGUUGUACUUUGUCUUUUUAAAAUUAUGUUGAUUUGAGUUUUUGUGUAAUAUGUAGUGACUGUUUUGCAUUUGUUCUGUUUUACGAGGACUAUUGCUAUUGAUUAUCGAACUCAACUUCAAUCUCGAGUUAUUUAGGUACUUUUUGUUAGUACUUUAUUUAUUUCAAAUUAUUUUUUUUGUUUUGCGAGGACUAAUACUGUUGACUAUCGGGUUUAAUUUUAAGCUCAAUAUAUUAGGGUAUUAGUAGUUAUGGCCGUAUGUUGUACUUUGUCUUUUUCAAAAUAUGCUAUUUGAAUUUUUGAGUAAUGAGUUGUGACUAGUUGACAUUGAUGUUGUUAGUGAGGACUAGCUAUGGACUAUCGCGACUGAAAUGGGUGUACCGUGCUAAUAGCGUGCCUAGGCCAAGUACUCUCAAAUCAUAUCUCACGCCAUUUGAUGUGAAUUGUUGUGGUACGUAACUGGGUUAAAUUUUGUUAUAUUUAUUUGGGCCUUAAUUAACCUGAACUUGAAGUUCCCGGGUUCAAUUCAAGUCAAGUUUAAUUAGGAAUUUUAUUAGACAAGGCCUUAUGUGUACUUGUCUUUUUAAAAUUUGGAUUGACGUUGUGUGUAAUAUGUAAGACUGUUUUGCAUUUGUUCUGUUUUUGCGGGACUAUUGCUAUUGACUUACGGAUUCAACUUCAGCUCGAGUUAUUUAGGUACUUUUUGUUAGUACUUAUGUUGUUGUGCUUUUUUUAUAGCAUGAUUUUAAUGUUUGAGUAACGAGUAGUGACUGCUUUUUGCAUUCAUUUUAGGCGACCGUGUGCUAAUAGCGAUGCCUAGGUCCAAGUUUACUCUCAAACCUAUCUCCACGCCUUAAUGUUGUGGUAGUAAUGUGGCUUAAAAUUUGUAUAUUUAUCUUGGGCCUUAAUUACCUGAACAUGGAAGUACACGGGUUCAUUGAAAGCUCAAGUGUAAUUGAGUAUAUUAGGACAGGCCUUAUGUUGUACUUGUCUUUUUAAAAUUAUGCUGAUUGAGUUUUUGUGUACUAUGUAGUGACUGUGUUGCAUUUGUUCUGUUUUGCUGAGGCUAUUGCUAUUGACUACCGGAGUCAACUUCAAGAUCGAGGUAUUAGGUACUUUUUGUUAGUACUUUAUGUGUUUUUUAUUAUAGCCUGCUUUUCUGUUGAGUAACGGUAGUGACUGCUUUGCUAUUUUUUUUGUUGUGCGAGGACUAAUACUGUGAUUAGGGGUUUAAUUUCAAGCUCAAGUUAUUGGGUAUUAGUAGUUAUUUUUAAAGGGCGUUAUUAUGCUUGUACUUUUCUUUUCAAAUUAUGCUAAUUUGAAUUUUUGAGUAGUGGAGUUUGUGAUUAUUUUGGAAUUUCUUUUGUUAGUGAGGACUAUUGCUAUUGACUAUCGGACCUCAAGUGGGUUGUUGUACCGUGGCUAAUAAGAGAUGCUAGGCCAGUACGCUCAAAUCCCCAAUCUCCACGCCUGGAUGUUGUGGUGCGUAACUGUGGCUUUAAAUUUUGUAUAAUUAUCUUGGGCCUUAAUUAACCUGAUUGAAGUUUUUUUUUUUUCCCCCCCGGGUCAAUUAAGCUCAAGUUAAAGUUAAUAGGAAUUAUGAGGACAAGGCCUUAUGUUGUACUUUGUCUUUUUAAAAUUAUGUGAUUUGAGUUUUGUGUUAAUAUGUAAUGAUGUUUUGAUUUUGUUCUGUUGCGGAGACUAUUGACUAUUGACUACCCGGAUCAUUCAAGCCGGAGUUCUUUAGGUACUUUUGUUAGACUUAUGUUGUUUUUUAUUUCUAGCAUGAUUUUACUGUUGCGUACGAGAGUAGGACGGCUUUGCAUUUCAUUUAGGUACCGUGCUAUAGCGAUGCCUUGGCCACAAGUACUAUAAAUCCAUAUCUCCACGCCUUGACUGUUGUGGUUAGUAACUGUGGCUUUAAAAUUUUGAUAAUGAUCUUGGGCCUAAUUCACCUGAACAUGAAGUUCCCGGUGUUCAUUAAAGCUCAAGUUAAUUAGGGACUAGUAGACAGGCCUUAUGUUGUACUUGGUAUUUUAAAACUUAUGCUGAUUUGAGUUUUUGUGUAAAUGUAGUGACUGUUUGCAAUUUGUUCUGUUUGCGGAGGACAUUGCAGGACACCGGAUUAACUUCAAGCUCGAGUUAUUUAGGUACGUUUUGUAGACGUUAGUUGUUUUUGAUUUAUAGCAUGAUUUUAAUGUUUGAGUAACGAAGUAGUGACUGCCUUGGCAUUUUGUUUUGUUUUGCGAGGACUAAUACGUUGAUUAUCGGGUUAAUUCAGCUCAAGUUAUUAGGGUAUUAGAGUUAUGGCUGUAGUUGUACUUGUAUUUUCAAUUAUGCUAAUUGAAUUGUGAGUAAUGAGUUGUGAAUUCUUUUUGCAUUUUAUGUGUUGAGUGAGGCCUAUUGAUAUUGACAUCGGACUCAAGGGGGUUGUACGUGCUAUAGCGAUGACUAGCCCAUACGCUCAAAUCCAUAGCUCCACGCCUUUGAAUGUUGUGGUUACGUAACUGUGGCUUUAAAUGAUAUUAUCUUGGGCCUUAAUUAACCUGAACUUGAAGUUCUCCGGGUUCAAUUUCAAGCUAACGUAAUUAGGAAUUAUUUAGACAGGCCUUUGUUGUACUUGUCUUUUUAAAAAUAUGUGAUUUGAGUUUUUGUGUACAUGGAUGACUGUGUGUAUUUGGAUUUGUUUUGCAGGACAUGCCUAUUGACUACCGGAUCAACUUCAAGCCGAGUUUCUUUAGUACUUUUGUAGUACUUUAUGUUGUUUUUUAUUUGAUUAGCCUGAUUUAAUGUUUGAGUCACGGAAGAGUACUUGUUUGCAUUUAUUUUUUUUUUGUUUUGGGAGGAUAAAUACUGUUGACUUAUCGGUUAAUUUCAAGCUCAAGUAUAAGGUAUUAGUAGAAUGGGCGUAUGGUGUACUUUGUCUUUUUCAAACUUAUGCUAAUUGUUUUUUGCGUCAUGAGUUGUGACUAUUUUGCUUUAUUUUGUUUAGUGGGACUAUUGCUAUUGAUUCGGACUCAAGUGGGCUGUGUUUGUUACGUAUGCUUAAUUAGCGAUGCCUAGGCCAAGUACGCUCAAAUCCAAUCUCCACGCCUUUGAAUGUUGUGGUACCGAACUGGGGCUUUUAAAUUUUGUAUAUUAUCUUGGGCCGUAAUUAACCUGAACGUGAAGUUCUCCGGGUUCAAUUUCAAGCUCAAGUUUCCUUAGGAAUUAUUGACAAGGCCUUAUGUUUUGUACUUGGUCUUUUUAAAAAUAUGCUGAUUUGAGUUUUUGUGUACUAAUGUAGUGCUGUUUUGAUGUUCUGUUUUGACCGGAGGACUUAGGGCUAUUGACUACGGAUUCAACUUCAACUCGAGUUAUUUAGGACUUUUUGUUAGUACUUUAUGUUGUUUUUAUUAUAGCAUGAUUUGAAUGUUUGAGUAACGAGUAGUGACUGCUUUGCAUUUUUUGUUGGGCGGGACUAAUACUGUUGAGUAUCGGGUGGAAUUUUAAGCUCAAGUAUAGGUAUAGUAGUAUGGCAUAGUUGUACUGUCCUUUUUUCAAAUUAUGCUAAUUGGAAUUUUGAGUAAGGAGUUGUGAUUAUUUUGCAGUUUUUGUUUAGGAGGGACUAUUGCAUUGACUAUCGGACGCAAUGGGUGUAACCGUGUGCUAAUGCGAUGCCUAGCCAAGUACUCUCAAAUCCAUAUCUCAACGACUUGAAGUUGUGUACGUAACUUGUGAUUAAAAUUUUGAUAUAUUUAUCUGGGCCUUAAUUAACCGGAACUUGAGGUUCUACGGGUUCAAUUUAAAGCUCAAGUUAAUUAGGAAGUAUUAGACAGGCUCUUAUGUUGUACUGUCCUUUUACAAAUUAUGCUGAUUGAAUUUUGGGGUAAUAUGAGUGACUGUUUUGCAUUUGUUUGUUUUGCGGGACUGCUAUUGUCUACCGGAUUUCCAACUUCAAGCUUCGAGUGAUUUAGGUACUUUGUGUUAGUAAUUUAUGUGGGUUUUAUUUUAUAGGCAUGAUUUUAAUGUUUGGUACGGAGUAGUGACUGCUUACAUUUCAGCUUAUGUACGUGCUAAUAGCGAUGCCUCGCCCAAGUCUCUCAAAUCCAUAUCGCACGCUUUGAAUGUUGUGGUAAGUAACUGGGGCUUUAAAUUGGUAUAUUUAUCUUGGCCUUAAUUACCUGAACAUGAAAGUUCCCAGGGUUUCAAUUUCACGCUCACGUUUUAUAGGUAUUAUUAGAUAAGGCCGUAGGUGUACUUGUCUUUUAAAAAAAAAAAAAAAUUUAUACUGGAUUGAGUUUGGUGUAAUUGGAAUAUGUAGUGAACUGUUGGCAUUUGUUCUGUUUUGCGAGGACUAUUGCUAUUGACACUGGAUUCUAACUUCAAGCUCGAGAUAUUAGGUCUUUUUGUAGUACUUAUGUGUUUUUUAUUUAUAGCAUGAGUUAAUGUGGAUAAGAGUAGGGACUGCGUUGCAUUUGUUGGUUUUGCGAGAACUAAUACUUUGUGACUAUCGGGUUUAAUUCAAGCUCAAGUUUUUUAGGGUAUUGUAGUUAUGGCGUUGGUGUCCUUGCAUUUUUCACGUUAUGCUAAUUUGAAUUUUUGAGUAAUGAGUUGGUGAGUAUUUUGCAUUGAAUUGUGUAGUGAGGACUAUUGAUAUUGACUAUCGGACUCAAGUGGGGUUGUACGUUGUAAUAGCCCGAUGCUAGGCCAAGUACGCUCAAAUCCAUAUCUCCACGACUUGACAUGGGUGGUACGUAAUUGUGGUUUAAAUUUUGUAUAUUAUUUGGCCUUAAUUAACUGAACUUGAAGUUCUCCGGAUUCAAUUUCAAGCUCAAGUUAAUAGGAAUUAUUUAGACAAGGCCUUAUGUGUACUUUUGAUUUUUUAAAAUUAUGCUGAUUUGAGUUUGUUGUGUAAUAUGUAGUGACUGUUUUGCAUUUGUUCUGUUGGCGAGGGACGAUGUAGACUACGGAUUCACUUCAAGCUCGAGUUAUAUAGGUACUUUUUGUUAGUACUUGUAUGGUUGUUUUUUAUUUAUAGCAUGAUUUUAAUGUGAGAGUACCGCGUCGUGAUGACUUGCAUUUGUUUGUUUUGCGAGAUUGAGAAUUAAUACUUUUGCCUAUCGGGUUUAAUUUCAAGCUCAAGUUUGUCGGGUAUAUAGUAGUUAUUAUGGCCGUAUGUGUACUUGUCUUUUCAAAUUAUGCAAAUAUUGAAUUUUUGAAGUAAUGAGUUUGUGAUUAUUUUGCAUCCUUUGUUUUAGUGAGGAAUAUUGCUAUUGAACUAGGACUCAAGUUGGGAUUUUUGUACCGUGCUGAUAAUAGAGAUGCUAGGCCCAAGUACGCUCAAAUCCAUAUCCACGCAUUUGAUGUUUGUGGUACGUAACUGUGGCUUUAAAUUUUGUAUAUUUAUCUGGGCCUUAAUUAAACCUGAACAUUGAAGUUUCCGGGUCAUUUUCAAGCUCAAGUUAAUAGGAAUAUUAGACAGGCCUUAUGUUGUAACUUUGUCUUUUUACCAUUCUGCUGCUUUUGAGUUUUGUGUCAUAGUAGGUGACUGUUUUGCAUUUGUUCUUUUUGCGGGACUAUUGCGAGUGACUACGAUGAACUUCAAGCUCGAGUUAUAUAGGUACUUUUUGUUAGUACUUUCUGUUGUUUUUAUUUUAUAGAUGAUUUACUGUUUGAGUACGAGUAGUGACUGCUUUGCAUGUUUUUUGUUUUGCGAGCGUACUAAUAUGUUGAUUAUCGGGUUUAUUUCCGCUUCAAGUUAUUAGGGUAAUAGUCGUUAUGGCCGAUGUUGUACUUUGUCAUUUUCAAAUUAUGCUAAUUGAAUUUUUGAAGUCAUGGUUGUGACUAUUUUGUAUUUAUUUUGUUUGUGAAAGCCUUGUUAUUGGUAUCGGACUCAAGUGGGAUGUACCGUGCUAAUAGCGAUGCCUAGGCACCAAGUUUACUCUCAAAAAUCCGUAUCUUCACGCUUUGAAUGUUGUGGUACGUUAAUGUGGCGUUUAAAAUUUUGUAUAUUAUCUUGGGCCUUAAUUAACUGAAUGAAGUUCCACGGGGGUUAAUUUCAAGCUCAAGUAUUAAGGUAUUAUUAGACACGCCUAUGUUUGUGCUUUGUCUUUUACAAUUAUGCGGUGGAUUUGAGUUUUGUGUAUAUGUAGUGACUGUUUUGCAUGUGUUCUGUUUUGCGAGGACUAUUGCUAGUGCCACGGAUUCAACUUCAAGGUCGAUGUUAUUUAGGUACUUUUUGUUAGUACUUUAGGUUGUUUUUAAUUAUAGCAUGUUUUAAAUUUUGAGACAAGAGUGAAUGGCUUUGUAUUUUUUUGUUUUGCGAGAGGACGAAUACUGUUGGAAUAUCGGGUUUAAUUUCACGCUCAAGUUAUUAGGGUAUAGUAGUAUGGCCGUCGUGGUACUUUGCUUUUUCAAUUAUGCUAUUGAUUUUUUGAGUAAAGUAAUGAGUUGUGGACUAUUUUGCAUUUAUUUUGUUUUAGUGAGGACUAUUGCUAUGAUAUCGGGACUCAAGGGGGGUGUACAGUGCUACUAGCGAUGCCUAGGCCCAUAGUCGCUCAAAUUCCAUAUCUCCACGCCUUGAAUGUUGUGGUACGUAACUGUGGCUUUAAUUUUGUAUAUUUAUCUUGGGCCUAAUUAACCUGACGUGAAGUUGUCCCCGGGGUUCAAUUUCAAGCUAAGUUAAUUAGGAUUAUUAGACAGGCCUUAUGUGGUACUUUGUAUUUUUAAAUUAUGCUGAUUGAGUUUUGGUGUAAUAUGAGUGACGGUUUUGCAUUUGUAUGUUUUGCGAGGACUAUGAUAUUGACUACAGGAUUCAAUUAAGCUCGAGUUUUUUAUUAGGUACUUUUGUUAGACUUUAUGUUGUUUUUAUUUAUAGCAGGAUUUAAGGUUUUUGAGAACGAGUAGUGAUGCUUUGCAUUUUUUUUGUUUUUGACGAGAGACUAAGUACUGUUGACUAUCGGGUUUAAUUUUCAAGAUCAAGUUAUAGGGUAUUAGUAGUUAUGGCCGUAUGUUGUACUUUGUCUUUUCAAAUGAUGCUAAUUGAAAUUUUGAGUAAUGAGUUUGCUAUUUUGGCUUUAUUAUGUUUUUGUGAAGACUAUUGUUAUGAACUAUCGGACUCAGGGGUUGUACAGGCCUAAUCGCGAUUGCCUAGGCCCAAGUACUCUCAAAUCCGGUCUCCAGCCUUUGAAUGUGGUGGUACAGUAACUGUGGCUUUAAAUUUUGUAUAUUUAUCUUGGGCAUUAAUUAUGAAGUUCCCGGGGGGGUUAAUUUCACAGCUUAAGUUUAAUUACGAUUAUUAGCCAAGGCCUUGUCUGUACUUGUUCUUUUUUAAAUUAUGCUGAUUUGAGUUUUUGUGUAAUAUGUCGUGAUUGUUUUGCAUGUGUUCUGUUUUGCGAGGACUAUUGAUAUUGACUCCCGGAUUUCAAACUUCAAGCUCGAGUAUUUAGGUUCUUUGUUAGUAUUUAUGUUGUUUUUCUUUAAGCCUGCUUUCCUGUUGAGCGAACAAGUAGUGACUGCUUUGCAUUUUUUUUGUUUUGCGGAGGACGAGGGGACACUAAUAUGUUGACUAUCGCAGUUAAUUUUCAAGCUCAAGUUAUUAGGGGUAUAAGUAGUUAGGCCCGUAUGUUGUCUUGUCCUUUUUUUUCAAAGUAUGUAAUUUGAAUUUGAGUAAUGAGUUGACUAUUUGGCAUUUAUUUUGUUUUGUGAGGACUAUUGCUAUUGACUUCGACUCAAGUGGGUGUCCGUGUAAUAGCGAUUGCUAGGCCAAGUAGUACUUUACAAUCCAUAUCUCCACGCCUUUGAAUGUUGUUGUACGUAACUGUGGCUUUAAAUUUGUUAAUUUAUCGUGGGACUUAAUUAACAGGAACUUGAAGUUCCCCGGGGGUUCCAUUAAGCUCAAGUUAAUGAGGUAUUAUUAGACCAGGCCCUUAUGUUAAACGUUUGUCUUUUUAAAAUUAUGCUGAUUUGUGUUUUGACUAUUGGAUUAUGUUUUUUGUGUGAGGACUAUUGCUAUUGACUAUCGGACUCAAGUGGGUGUACCGUGCUAAUAGCGAUUCAAAUCCAUAUCUCCACGCCUUUGAAUGUUGUGGUACGUAACUGUGGCUUUAAAUUUUGUAUAUUUAUCUUGGGCCUUAAUUAACCUGAACUUGAAGUUCCCCCGGUUCAAUUGCAGCUCAACGGUAUUAGGAAUUAUUAGACAAGGCCUUAUGUUGAACUUUGUCGUUUUAAAAUUAUGAUGAUUUGAGUUUUGUUGUAUAUGUAGUGACUGUUUGAUUUGUUCGGUUUUGGAGGACUAUGCUAUUGACUCCGGAUUCAACUUCAAGCGCGAGUUAUUUAGGUACUUUUUGUUACUACUUAGUUUGUUUUUAUUUAUAGCUGAUUUUACAUGUAUUGAGUCACGAGUAGUGACUGCUUUGCAUUUUUUUUUUGUUUUGGGAGGAUUAAUACUGUUGACCCAAUCGUUUUAAUUCAAAGCUCAAGUUAUUAGGUAAUUAGUAGUUAUGGCCGUAUGUUGUACUUUGUCUUUACAAAUUAUGCUAAUUUGAAUUUUUGAGUAAUGAGUUGUGACGAUUUUGCAUUUAUUUUGUUGUGGACGACAUUGCUAUUGACUACGGACUCAAGGGGGUGUUUGUUAAGUGCUAAUAGCGAUGCCUAGGCCCAAGUACUCUAAACCACAUCUCCCACGGCUGGGAAUGUUUUUUGGACGUAUCUGUGGCUUUAACUUUGUAUAUUUAUCUUGGAGACUUAAUUAACCUGAACUGAAGGUUCCCGGGUUAAAUGUCAAGCUCAAGUUAAUUAGGUAUUAGUAGACAAGGCUUAUGUUAAACUUGUCUUUUUUAACAUUAUGAUGAUUGUGUUUUGACCUUAUUUUGCAUUUAUUUUUUUUUGAGGACUAUUUAUACUGAAUAUCGGAAUCAAAGUGGGGUGUACCGUGCUAAAUAGCGAGCUAGGCCAAAGUCUCUCAAAUCCAUCUCCAGCCUUGAAUGUUGUGGACGUAAUGUGGAUUUAAAUGUUGGAUAGUAUAUUGCAUUAAUAACCUGAACUUUUGAAGUUCCCCCGGUUCAAUUGUUCCAAGCUAAGUUAAUAGGAAUGAUUAGACAAGGCCUUAUGUUUGUACUUUGUCUUUUUAAAAUUAUGUGAUUUGAGUUUGUGUGUAUAUUAGUGCUGUUUUGCAUUUGUUCUUGUUUUGAGCGGAGGAUGCUAUUGACGACGGAUCAACCUCAGUUCGAGUAUUUAGCGUUACUUUGUGUUAGUACUUUAUAUGUUUUUAGUUUUAGCAUGAUUUUCAUGUUUGAGAACGGGUGGUGACUGGCUUUGAAUUUUUUUUGUUUUGCGUGGAGAACUAAAUGUUGACUAUCGAGUUUAUUUCAAGCUCAAGUAUUACGGUAUAGUAGCUAGUCGAUGUUUGUCCGUUGUCUUUUUCAAAUUAUGCUAAUUUUAAUUUUUGAGUAAUGGAGUUGUGACUAUUUGCAGUAGUUUGAUUGUGAGGGAUAGUGGCUAUUGACUAUCGGACUCAAGUGGGUGUACCGUGCUAAUAGCGAUGCCUAGGCCCCAGUACUCUCAAAUCCCUAUCUCCACCCUUUGAAUGUUGUGGUAUGUAACUGUGGCUUUAAAAUUUGUAAUUUAUCUUGGGCCUUAUUAACCUGAACUUGAAGUUCCCCCCCCCGGUUCAAUUUUCAAGCUCAGUUAAUUAGAAUUAUUAGACAAGGCCUUAUGUUGUACUUUGUCUUUUAAAAUUAUGCUGAUUUGAGUUUUGUGUAAUAUGUAGUACUUUUGCAUUUGUUCUGUUUCGAGGACUAUGGCUAUUGACUACCGAUUCAACUUCCAAGGUCGAGUUUUUAGGUACUUUUUGUUGUACGUUAUGUUUUUUUGUUUUAUGCAUAUUUUAAUGUUUGAGUAACGAGUAGUGACUGCUUUGCAUUUUUUUGUUUUGCGGACGACUAAUACGUUGACUAUCGGGUUCAUUUCAAGCUCAGUUAUUAGGGUAUUAGUAGUAUGGUCGUAUGUUGUACUUUUGCCUUUUUCAAAUUAUGCUAAUUGAUGUUUUGAGUAAUGAGUUUUGACUAUGUUGCUUUAUUUGUUAGUGAGGACUAUUGCUAUUGACUAUCGGACUCAAGUGGGUAUACGUGCUAAUAGAGAUGCGCUAGCCCAGUUAACUCUCAAAUCCCUAUCUCCACGCCUUUGAAUGUUGUGUACUACUGUGGCUUGUAAACUUUGUAUAUUUAUCUUGGACCUUAAUUACCUGACUUGAAUUUCCCCGGGUUCAUUAAAGCUGAAUUAAUUAGGUAUUAGUAUACAAUGCCUUAUGUUGUCUUUGUCUGUUUAAAAUUAUGCUGAUUAGUUUUUGUGUAAUAUGUAUGACUGUUUUGCAUUUGUCUGUUUUGCGAGUAUUUUGCUAUUGACACCGAUUCACUUCAAGGCUCGAGUUAUUUAGGUACUUUUUGUUAGUACUUUAUAUUGUUUUUUAUUUAUAGUAUGAUUUUAAUGUUUGAGUAACGAGUAGUGACUGCUUUGCAUUUUUUUUGUUUUGCGAGGACUAAUACUGUUGACUAUCGGGUUUAAUUUCAAGCUCAAGUUAUUAGGGUAUUAGUAGUUAUGGUCGUAUGUUGUACUUUGUCUUUUUCAAAUUAUGCUAAUUUGAAUUUUUGAGUAAUGAGUUGUGACUAUUUUGCAUUUAUUUUGUUUUGUGAGGACUAUUGCUAUUGACUAUCGGACUCAAGUGGGUGUACCGUGCUAAUAGCGAUGCCUAGGCCCAAGUACUCUCAAAUCCAUAUCUCCACGCCUUUGAAUGUUGUGGUACGUAACUGUGGCUUUAAAUUUUGUAUAUUUAUCUUGGGCCUUAAUUAACUUGAACUUGAAGUUCCCCGGGUUCAAUUUCAAGCUCAAGUUAAUUAGGAAUUAUUAGACAAGGCCUUAUGUUGUACUUUGUCUUUUUAAAAUUAUGCUGAUUUGAGUUUUUGUGUAAUAUGUAGUGACUGUUUUGCAUUUGUUCUGUUUUGCGAGGACUAUUGCUAUUGACUACCGGAUUCAACUUCAAGUUCGAGUUAUUUAGGUACUUUUUGUUAGUACUUUAUGUUGUUUUUUAUUUAUAGCAUGAUUUUAAUGUUUGAGUAACGAGUAGUGACUGCUUUGCAUUUUUUUUUGUUUUGCGAGGACUAAUACUGUUGACUAUCGGGUUUAAUUUCAAGCUCAAGUUAUUAGGGUAUUAGUAGUUAUGGCCGUAUGUUGUACUUUGUCUUUUUCAAAUUAUGCUAAUUUGAAUUUUUGAGUAAUGAGUUGUGACUAUUUUGCAUUUAUUUUGUUUAGUGAGGACUAUUGCUAUUGACUAUCGGACUCAAGUGGGUGUACCGUGCUAAUAGCGAUGCCUAGGCCCAC
rnacentral:lncRNA from 1 species